CUUAUCCCACUGUUUAAGAUGAACAACAAAACCAAAUCAUAACAACAAAACUGUUAGGGAGAAACCAAUAGUAACAUAUAUGCGACUGAGUGAAAAAAAGGAAGGAAUAGGUUAAAGAGGUUACAGAAUUUCGAGAUGUGCUAAUGAUCUUAGAUGCACAUAGUUCCUGCUAUUGUUCAUUAAUAAAUAGAGAGAGAUUAAUCAAAUGGACAGAGGUAAUGAAAGCACUCACAGCAGUUUGUACACUCUUAACAACGCUGAUGGAGGAUGAAGAAUCAGAACUUUCCCCAGUAGCUUUUGAAAUGGUACCGGCACGAUUAUGCUUCCCUGCGAAGACAAGAUGAUGAACAAUCAAACCAUGCACAACAUUGGAAUAACCGUCCAAAUCAAAGGUCCCAGUUAGUGUGCGUGAUUGAUUUUCUAUUUAUUUAAACAAACUUGAGAGACUUUCUGUCUUGAAGAUAUAAUAAAAUCAAACUGUAUAAAGCAAUUUGAGAUCCGGGAAACAUAUAUCAUAUGUUGGUGAAAAUGAUUAACUUUCUCUCUAAACUUGUG
rnacentral:lncRNA from 1 species